CUUGAAACCAACCCACACAGCACAAAAAGAAAGGAGAGAGGUCUGCCCGGGUCGCCCUCAACACACCCUUCUAACUUGGUUCUAGAACAGCAGUGCCCAGUUUGCAAGACAAGAAGCUAAUUGACUCGAAUGUCUGCUGCAUAAGCUAUAAAAUAAGUACAUAAAGAACAAUAUGAACAUACAGCGCCAUCAGUUACAUAAAAAGGCCUGACUGUCCGACGCCACACUGUGCACCGAACAAGCACAGCAAUUGUUUCAGCGGGCUGCACGGAGGAAGAAUGAAUAAUUAGCGUCCUUGUGAAUCAAGUCUCCACCAGGAAGAGAGCUCCAUCCUGCAGCAGUGGCACGGCAGCACCCUCAGCCCGCCAGAGUCAAGCUGGGGUUUUUAAACGUCUUUAUUGACAAUCAGGAUGCAGGCAAACAUAUUCUUCAGCCAAGUAAACCGACAACUAGCUCCACUGUGGUCACUGCUCAUUGGCUGGAACACCCGCUUCUUGUCUAAAGUCUCACCAACUGCUACUUUCCAUUACCAGGAAAUGUCAUUUUCCCUCACUUGUUUAUUUUUGCAUUGGCUAGGAAUACAACAACUUCUGCUAAAGGUGGAGGGGCUGUGACAAAAGCAUCCAUUUGAGCUGUCCUGGCACAACAGGCACAACACAAGAAGUCCCUAAACGUUUCUUUCCAGAGAGUAUGAGUAGAGGGAAGCAAGGAGACAAAAACCACUAUGGAUUCCCCACUAUGGAGGACCCAGAGUUGACAGGGAAAGUGUAAUCCAAGGUACAAAGUCCCACAACUUUAUGUACUUCUCCAAGGAACUAUUUUCUCCUGAAAGGUUUGGUGAGUUCGAAGAUGUGACAGAGACCUACAAGAGCCCAGAAAGUGGUAAUAUUUUUGAGUGGUAAGUAAAAAUAUGUUCAACCUAACUAGGAACAAGAGAAUAUAGUUAAAUAAUGUGCUCACUUUUCACCCAUUUUCACCCACUGAAUGAGCUAGCAAACCUUCUCGAAAAGUAAUUUGACAUGCUGUGCUUCCAGUUUAAUAUCUAAGAACUCUUUGCCUAACUCAAGGUCAUGAAGACUUUUUAUUAUGUUGUGCUAAAAGAUUUAGCUUAACCUUCUACACUUUAGCCUAGGAUCCAUUUUGAGUUAAAUUCUAUGUACCGUGUGCGGUAAGAAUUUAAAUUUACCUUUUUUGCAUGUGGAUAUCCAAUUGUCCUAGCACUAUUCAUUGAAAAGACUAUUGAAUUGAAUUGCUUUUGAAUUGCUUUGGUACCUCUGUAGAGAAAUCAAUUGACAAUAAUGUAAUGGUUUAUUUCUAGACUCUCAAUUCUGUACCAUUAUCUAUGCUUACACCACUGUCUAUCCUUACACCAGUAACACACUGAUUUGAAUAGUAUAGCUUUGUAGUAAGUUUUGAAACUAAGAAAUAUAAGACCCCUAAUCUUUUUUUCUUCCCUUUCCGAAUUGUUUUGUUUAUUCUAGGUCAUCUACAUUUCUAUACUGUUAGAAACAGCUUGACAAUUUUUUUUAAAAAGAUGCAUACUAAAAUUGUAUAAGGAUUGCACUGAAUCUACAAAUCAUUUUAGGAAGAUUUAACAAUAUUGAGUCUUCCAAUCCAUGAACAUGGGAUAACUCUCAUUUAGCAAUAAACUAGUCUUGCACUGAUUUUAUUAAAUUUAUUCCUCAGAAUUGUGUUCAUAAUGUGGGUUUCAGAUUGCUUGGUGCUAGUAUGUAAAAAUACAAUUGAUUUUUGUAUACUAAUCUUUUAUCCUGUAAGGUUGCUGAACUCAUUAGUCGGUUCGUACUUUGGGGGAAUCGGGAUUGGGCAUGUGUUCCUUUAGGUUUUCUAGUACAGGCUCAAUUCAUCUGAAAAUAAAGAGAGUUUUCUUUCUUUCUUCCCAAUCCGGAUGCCUUUGAUUUCUGAACCUGCAGUACAAUUUUAAAUAUAAGUAGCAAAAGUGGACAUCUCUGCCUGGCUUCAGAUCUUAACAGGAAGCCACAUUAAUAAAGUGCAUGAAGAAGCAGUCCACCCAAGCUAUUAUCUUUCUUGAAGACUUUACGAAACAGAACUGGCUAAAUAUUUUCUUAUACUGAUGAACCAUGAUCACAUACAAAUAAAAAACGUACUUAGAAA
rnacentral:lncRNA from 10 species